UAUGUCAUCUUAGUCUGGUUUCUGAUCUCCUCUGAUCUCAGAAGCUAAGCAGAGUAAGGCUUGGUUAACACUUGAAUGGGAAACCAUAAUCUGGAUGAAUUUUACUACAUAA
rnacentral:rRNA from 1 species